rnacentral:rRNA from 1 species
UACAGAGGUGGCAAGCGUUGUUCGGAAUUACUGGGCGUAAAGGGCGCGUAGGCGGCCCACUAAGUCAGACGUGAAAUCCCCCGGCUUAACCUGGGAACUGCGUCUGAUACUGGAGGGCUUGAGUACGGGAGAGGUGAGUGGAACUGCGAGUGUAGAGGUGAAAUUCGUAGAUAUUCGCAAGAACACCAGUGGCGAAGGCGGCUCACUGGCCCGUAACUGACGCUGAGGCACGAAAGCUAGGGGAGCAAACAGG